AACCAGUUGGUGUAGUGGUUUGAGUGAUGGACUACAACUCUGGAGACCAGGGUUCAAAUCCUUGCUUGGCCA